CUGAUUAUGCCACAAGCAUCAUGGUAUCCUGAUGUUGCAGGAAUUUGUGUCACCACAUUACCAGAAAAGUCUCAAGCACCAUAAUUUUCGCUGCAUCCCCCACUGCCGAUUCUGGGCGGUUCAGCGUUCUCAGUCCAGUAACAUGGAAAAGUGACAGAACUCCACUUGCAUCUGUUGAAAAUGACAACAUUACUUCUGCUUACGUGACAUCUGGUGCAUUCCAAGAAAGUGUGAUUAGUGGAGGCCUGUAGCAAGAAGGGUGCCCCAGGGGUCUGUCCCCCACCGAGAUUCACAUGUUAAAAGAAGUGAGUGCUAUACUGUUACAAUGCGAAAACAACAGAGGUGCUUAUGGGUGUCUGGAAGUUAUGAUAUUCCUUCUUUGUAUUAUAAAUUCCAGAUACAAAGAUGCUGAAUAAAAUCAAUUUUUG